UGGGGGAUCUUGCGCAAUGGGCGAAAGCCUGACGCAGCGACACCGCGUGAGGGACGACGGCCCUCGGGUUGUAAACCUCUUUCGGCAGGGACGAAGCGAUCGUGACGGUACCUGCAGAAGAAGCUCCGGCUAACUACGUGCCAGCAGCCGCGGUAAGACGUAGGGAGCGAGCGUUGUCCGGAUUCAUUGGGCGUAAAGAGCGCGCAGGCGGCUUGGUAAGUCGGAUGUGAAAACCCGGAGCUCAACUCCGGGCGUGCAUCCGAAACUGCCCGGCUAGAGGUAGGUAGGGGAGAUCGGAAUUCCUGGUGUAGCGGUGGAAUGCGCAGAUAUCAGGAGGAACACCGGUGGCGAAGGCGGAUCUCUGGGCCUUACCUGACGCUCAGGCGCGAAAGCUAGGGGAGCAAACAGG
rnacentral:rRNA from 1 species